CCUGCAUGAAGUCGGAAUUGCUAGUAAUCGUGGAUCAGCAUGCCACGGUGAAUACGUUCCCGGGCCUUGUACACACCGCCCGUCACACCAUGGGAGUCGGUAACACCCGAAGCCUGUAGUCUAACCGCAAGGAGGACGCAGUCGAAGGUGGGAUUGAUGACUGGGGUGAAGUCGUAACAAGGUACC
rnacentral:rRNA from 1 species